rnacentral:lncRNA from 1 species
GGGCCAUGUUGGCGAUCCGCGUGCGCGCGAUCGGACGGCCCAGAUCAAUCGCGCGCACGGACGGCCCAAAUUUAAUCGCACGGACGGCCCAGAUUUAAUCAAAAACGGACGGCCCAGAUUAAAUCAAAAUGGACGGCUGAGAUCAAAAGGCAAAAGGGUAUAAAUAAGACCCCCACACCAGACCACAAAACCCUAGUCGCCUGCCCUCGCCGGAGAAGACGAACCAGAAGCCGGCCGUCGCCACCCGCCGCCGCACCGGAGGGAUUUCCGACCGCCGAUCGAGGU